rnacentral:rRNA from 1 species
AUUGAACGCUGGCGGCAUGCUUUACACAUGCAAGUCGAACGGCAGCACGGGAGCUUGCUCCUGGUGGCGAGUGGCGAACGGGUGAGUAAUGCAUCGGAACGUAUCCAAUAAUGGGGGAUAACGCAUCGAAAGGUGUGCUAAUACCGCAUACGCCCUGAGGGGGAAAGUGGGGGACCGUAAGGCCUCACGUUAAUGGAGCGGCCGAUGUCGGAUUAGCUAGUUGGUGAGGUAAAGGCUCACCAAGGCGACGAUCCGUAGCUGGUCUGAGAGGAUGAUCAGCCACACUGGAACUGAGACACGGUCCAGACUCCUACGGGAGGCAGCAGUGGGGAAUUUUGGACAAUGGGGGCAACCCUGAUCCAGCCAUGCCGCGUGAGUGAAGAAGGCCUUCGGGUUGUAAAGCUCUUUCGCGAGGGAAGAAAACUUACUCAAUAACACUGGGUGAGGAUGACGGUACCUUGAUAAGAAGCACCGGCUAACUACGUG